rnacentral:misc_RNA from 1 species
AACUUAUUAACCAUGUCCUCUCACACACAUUUUUCUUACACUUGUGACUAUUCCUUCAUAAUGUCCUUGAUGACAUUUAUAUAAUUCAAAUUAAAUUGACUAAUUACUUAGCACUCACCAAAAAACUUCUCUUCUUAGUUCAUCAUGUGCCUUUUUUAUAUCAAUAAAUACCAUGUAAAAAUCAUUCUUUUUCUUCCUACAAAUCUCCAUUGAUCUUCUUGAUAUAAGAGCUAAAGUUGCCCAUUGUCUAUGGAUAGUUACUGUGCAUCCUAGUUAGACAACUCCUUAUUAAUAUUCUUUAAAGGAAAUUUCUUACCUACAUCAAAGUAUAUAAACACCCAACUAAUAAAAGAUCACAUUCAUGCAUUUUUAAAUGGGACUCACUAUGAUUUGAUUGUAUACCUUGGUGUAAGUAAGAAAUUUUUUACCUACUAUGAUUUGAU